rnacentral:rRNA from 1 species
UACGAAGGGGGCUAGCGUUGCUCGGAAUCACUGGGCGUAAAGCGCACGUAGGCGGAUCUUUAAGUCAGGGGUGAAAUCCUGGAGCUCAACUCCAGAACUGCCUUUGAUACUGGGGAUCUCGCAGUCCGGAAGAGGUGAGUGGAACUGCGAGUGUAGAGGUGAAAUUCGUAGAUAUUCGCAAGAACACCAGUGGCGAAGGCGGACUCACUGGUCCGGUUCUGGACGCUGAGCGCGAAAGCGUGGGGAGCAAACAGG